rnacentral:rRNA from 1 species
UACGAAGGGGGCUAGCGUUGCUCGGAAUUACUGGGCGUAAAGGGUGCGUAGGCGGGUCUUUAAGUCAGGGGUGAAAUCCUGGAGCUCAACUCCAGAACUGCCUUUGAUACUGAAGAUCUUGAGUUCGGGAGAGGUGAGUGGAACUGCGAGUGUAGAGGUGAAAUUCGUAGAUAUCGGGAGGAAUACCUAUGGCGAAAGCAGGCUACUGGACCGUCACUGACUCUGAUCUGCGAAAGCUAGGGGAGCAAACAGG